rnacentral:lncRNA from 1 species
CCCGGAUUACACGUUCCACGGACACACCGACAAAUCCGCCGUAUACAAAGGAAUUUCCCCUGUAUACGAAGCGACAGCUGUACCUGUAAAACAUACAAUACUACAAACAGUAGUAUAGAGCUGCUAGAAGAACUAGUAAAGUAAAAGAAACCGAGUUCCAUAUACAUACACUGAAUCCCAGAGUACAAAGCUACUCGCGCUGGCGAGUUAAAAGUCUGUAUGUACAUGAACCCAAACCAAAACAUCUACCUGCAGUAGGGGUGCAUCUAGCUCUGCUCCUCGGGUAGGGCUCUAACUCGUGACGCCCUUGCCUAGCUCCUGACCAGCAACAGCAGCAGCCAAAGACGAAGGCUCUGCAAAAACGGGAUAACAACUGGACGUGAGAACUACUGUAGAAAUAAGUAGUCCUCAGUAGGUGCCGCCCUCAACAAUCAUCGGUCCACCCAUUAAGUCUACAGAAGGUAACAAGGCUAGCAGGAAAAGCUGGAAAGAAAUCUACAGCUACAUAUCGCUACACUAGCAUGAUCUACACUAACCAACUGUAGUAAAAGUCACAACUGACUCAAUCUCACUAGGGACUGUGAACACACCCGUCCCGCCUGUCGGAUCGAACCCGUAUCCUACUCCAGGAAUAGCUGGUGGAGAAAACUCUCUAGGGACUGUGAAUACACCCGUCCCGCCUAAUUAGGUGACACCGUAGCUCAAGAGUAACUGGCGGAGAAAACUCUCUGGAGACUGUGAAUACACCCGUCCCGUCUACUAGAAUACGUCGUAUUUCAAGAGUAAUCGGCGGAGAAAACUCUCUAAAGACUGUGAAUACACCUGUCUCACCUAAUUAGACUACACCAUACCUCGAGAGUAGUCGGUCCCAGAAAAAGGUCCAACAGGAUGGUUAAGACUCCACUCACGUCACAACCUCACUAAAGGUAGGGAAAAACGUCACUCACUAUCUCACCCGGGCUGCCCAAAACGGACCCACCCUACCUGUAUCUAGCUGCGCCGUACACCACCCCGAGGGUAGCCGGCUCAAGAACUGUCCAACAGAAACUGCGACACUUAUCGCACUGAAACCUCAUUCCCGAAUAGCAUUCACGAGCGCGACCCAACGAGUUUACAAGUAUCUCUGUCAAGUUCAUACCGCUCUCACAGGCUAAGUCAAGUAACCGACCUUAACUGGUCUAACAACGAACAGGUAAAGUGCCCUCGACACAAUCUAACGCUAAAAAGGCGAUACGAGUCCACCGUCAACUCCGACGGCACCCAACAGUCCGGAACAGCCUGAACUCUACUAUAAAAAUACACUCGGCAUCCCAGCACGAGCGUAACUAAAAAUUAAACUACCUGAAAUAUUCACUAUGAGGAUACUGCAACAGUAUAAAAUAAUACAACGGCCCCUAGGCUAAAUCAGGUAGUUUAACAUAUGCCAGGUCCCGAAAGCCGGUUUUCUCCUGUGUCAAAUCCAGGUCCAACAUGUAUAAUUUAUUUAUAAAAAUAGGCUCCAAUUUCAGUUUAGAUGAAAACAACAUUUACAAAUAUGAAACUGAGCUAAAACAAUAGUAAUGUGUAAUACUAACAAUACAUGUUGACCAACAAGACUAUACGAGUAGGAAUCCGAUGAUAAACCCACCUCGAAAGGUAAAUCCAAUCCGGCGCGACGUCGAGAACGGCGGAAACGCACCCUCGUCCAGCCUCCUCGUGAUGCUACGACUGCAACCGUAUCCUCGAACGGCUUUGCGGCGCGACGUCAAUGUCGAAUCCGAGCUCCUCGGCUACCUCUACCCGUGCUCUCCACCAUGCACGUAAUUAACUAGAGAGAACAAAAAAAAAUGCACACUCUCUGUUAAUUUGAAGAGAUAAACAUGAAAAGGGUGGUGGCAUCCUUAUCCAAAAAAAUGACCACUAUGCCCCUAGACCAACUCAAAAUGAAGGGUAUUACAUCCUCCCCCACUAUAAAAAGUUUCGUCCUCGAAACUUAAAACAUAUCUCAAACCUGAGUCUCGAACAAGUAGGGAUAGGACUCCCGCAUCACCAUCUUCGGCUCCCAGGUUGCCUUCCGUUCCUCAUGAUUGCUCCACUACACUUUCACAUACGGGAUGUCCCGGUUGCGCAAUUCUUUCGUCUCCCGAGCAAGAAUCCGCAACGGUCGCUCCUCGUAUCUCAGAUCCUCGCCAAUCUCUAGUGGAGUGAAAUCGAUCACGUGAGAAGGAUCGAAAAUAUAUCUCCUCAAUGCUGAGACGUUGAAGACAUCGUGAAUGCCAGCUAGUCACGGGGGUAGAGCGAUCCUGUAAGCAACUGGUCCAACUCGCUCCAAUACCUCAAAAGGGCCAACAAAGCGUGGACUGAGCUUUCCACGCACUCCAAAUCGGCAAAUCCCUCUGGACGGCGAGACUUUAAGAAAUACAUGAUCUCCAACCUGGAACUCUAAGUCUCGUCUCCUGGUAUCGGCGUAGCUCCUCUGGCGGCACUGGGCUGUCAAAAGGUGUCGUCGAACAACUCUCACCUUUUCCUCAGCCUCUAGCAAAAUCUCAGGCCCAAGUGUCUUCCUCUUACCCACAUCACUCUAAAACAACGGGGAUCGACAUCUGCGUCCAUACAACGCCUCAAACGGAGCUAUCUGGAUGCUCGUUUGAUAGCUGUUGUUGUACGCAAACUCAACCAGUCUCAAAUGUCGAUACCACCCUCCUCCAAAAUCCAGGACACAUGCCCUCAGCAUGUUCUCUAGAGUCUGAAUGGCCCUCUCUGACUGACCAUCUGUCUGUGGGUGGAACGCUGUGCUAAAAUGCAACUGAGUGCCCAAGGCUGUCUGUAGACUCCUCCAAAACUGAGAUACAAACCUCGGGUCUCUGUCUGAUACAAUCGACACUGGCACGCCGUGCAGCCUGACGAUCUCAUCCAGGUAUAGAUGCGCGAGUCUCUCUCUGGACCAGAUGGUCUGAACCGAUAAGAAGUGAGCAGACUUGGUCAGUCUGUCCACUAUCACCCAAAUCGCAUCAAAGCCACCCUGCGCUCUAGGCAAUCUCACGACAAAGUCCACCGUAAUCUUCUCCCACUUUCACUCGACACUGGCAGACUCUGAAGCUUGCCAGCAGGUACCUGAUGCUCGGCCUUCACCUAUUGGCAAGUCAAAUACUGAGCCACAUACCGGCCAAUGCCUCUCUUCAUUCCAUUCCACCAAAACUGUGCCUUCAAGUCCUUAUACAUCUUGGUUUCACUUGGGUGAACCGUAUAAGGAGAACAAUGAGUCUCUCUCAAGAUGUCCUCUUGGAUCCCUAAAUCCACCGGCACACACAGUCGGUCCCUAUACCGCAGUACUCCCGAACUGUCAACAGAAAAACCCUCAGCCUGUCCCCUAUGUAGCUGCUCUCGAAUCCUCGUCAAGUACGGAUCUCCACUCUGUUUCUCUCGGAUCCUAUCCAACAGAGUGGGCUGCAAGACCAGAGACAUUAGUCUCGCAGUAGACCCAGGGGAUAUUAUCUCAAGCCUCAGCCGCUGGAGCUCCUCAAGUAACGGUCUCUGCUCAGUGAUCAUCACACUCAGGCUCUGCACUGACUUCCUGCUCAACGCAUCUGCCACUACAUUCGCCUUACCGGGAUGAUACUGAAUACUAAUGUCAUAGUCCUUCAGUAACUCCAACCACCGGUGCUGCCUCAGGUUCAGCUCCCUCUGUGUGAACAGAUACUUGAGACUUUUAUGAUCCGUAAAAAUCUCGCAGUGCUCGCCGUACAAGUAAUGUCGCCACAACUUCAAAGCAAAGACUACCGCGGCAAGCUCCAAGUCAUGCGUAGGGUAAUUCUUCUCAUAAUCCUUUAACUGCCGUGAUGCAUAAACAAUUACCCUACCAUGCUGCAUCAACACACAACCCAGUCCACUGUGCGAUGCAUCAUUGUAGAUCACAAAUCCUUCCCCCAUCACAGGAAGGGCAAGGAUAGGAGCUGACGUCAACCUUUGUCGCAACUCAUCAAAGCUCCUCUGACAAUCCUCACUCUAGAUGAAUCUAAUCCCCUUUCGCGUCAAUCGAGUGAGGGGUGUGGAAAGCUUCGCAAAGCCUUCCACAAACCGACGGUAAUAUUCUGCUAAUCCAAGGAAACUCCUCACCUCUGUCACCGUCACCGAUCUGGGCCAACCCCGAAUAACAUCAAUCUUCUUCGGGUCCACUGCUACUCCCUCUGCUGAUAUCACAUGGCCCAAGAAAGCAACCUCUCGUAACCAGAACUCGAACUUCUUCAACUUGGCAUACAACUUCUUCUCUCGCAGAAGUUGUAGCACAAUUCUCAAGUGCUCCUCAUGCUCAGCAUCACUCCGGGAGUAAAUCAGGAUAUCGUCGGUAAAGACUACCACAAAUCUAUCCAAGAACGACUUAAACACUCUGUUCAUCAAAUCCAUGAAUGCUGCAGGGGCAUUCGUCAAUCCAAAAGGCAUCACCGUUAACUCAUAAUGCCCGUACCGAGUCCGAAAAGCCGUCUUGGGAACAUCCUCGGCCCUUACCCUCAAUUGGUGGUAACCUGACUGGAGAUCAAUCUUCGAAAAGACAUAAGAUCCCUGCAGCUGAUUAAACAGAUCAUCAAUGCGCGGCAAGGGAUACUUAUUCUUGAUGGUCACUUUAUUCAGCUCCCGGUAGUCCACACACAGCCUAAGUAAACCAUCAUUCUUCUUCACAAACAACACCGGCGCUCCCCAAGGCGAAACAUUGGGUCUCACAAACCCUCUAUCCAUCAAAUCCUGAAGCUGUGCCUUUAGCUCUCUCAGCUCUGCUGGCGCAAUCCGAUAAGGUACCUUUGAGAUUGGUGCAGUUCCAGGAACUACAUCAAUCACAAACUCAAUCUCCCUCUCCGGCGGCAACGUCGUCAACUCAGGAGGAAACACAUCUAGAAACUCAUGGACUAUAGGGAUAUCCUCGAGUCCCGGCGCCGCCGUAGGUACCUCCACAACUGCCGCUAAGAAAGCGAUACACCCACUACUCAGCAUCUGUCGAGCUCUCGCCGAAGAUAUCCAGGUGGCAAACAACGUACUACUACAGCCUCUGAAAGUGAACUCCUUCUGGCUUGGCUCGCGGAAUGUCACCGUCCUCGCUCCACAAUCGAUCGUAGCAUAGUACCGCGUCAACCAAUCCAUACCGAGCACGAUGUCAAAGCCCUGCAGCUGCCCUAACACCAACAGGUCUGCGGCAUAAACCACGAAUCUAACUGCACCGGACACGACCAACAACACUCCGCAGUCUGUAACACAUGGUCGGGGAUCUGCACCUCUCGUGUCAAAGACAACGACCCUAACUCUAGACCAUAUAACAGUGCAAAUACUUGGCUAACAAAAGAAUGCGAGGCACCGGUAUCAACUAAAGUACGACUACAUAUGCCAAAAAUCAAAAUGAUACCUGCCACCAUACGGUCGGCUGCUGAAGAGUCCUCCCGAUGGUAACUCGGUAGUACUCCAAAAGUCUGCUGGUCAGCUGGCUGCGCUGAUGCAAUGGAUAGUGCUGGAAAUGUCGCUCUAGGACACGCUGACCUCACAUGUCCUGGCUGUCCACAAGUGUAGCAGCGACCCUCUUUCUGCUCACAUUGUCGGGGCCAGUGUGGUCCUCCAUAAAUCACGCACCGCAGCGUCCUCGGUGACGGUCCCUGCUGAAGCAAUCCCCUGGAAAGCUGACGCCCCGAUGAACCACGACCCUAAGAGCAAGAUCGAGAAAGCCUCAGCGGACGUCUGCUACUCGCCUGUCCUCCAUCAUCUGGAAAAGGGCGCUUCCUGUCUUGGCUCUGCCCCGGUGCCAUAGUCCGCUCCUAGAUGGGUGUAACUCCGUGUCCCACCAAGAGUACCUGCUGCACAGAUGCUCCUGUCUCAACUCCUGACCACUGAGUGAUAAUCUCAUAAAUUCUCUGCAAUAGUACACUCUGCUGCUUGAUCACUGUCAGGGCAGCCAACUGCUCUCUCAAAUCAGGGGGUACACUUGCCUCCGGUCGUGCACUCGGCUCUGCCUGGUCGGGCAUCUCUAGCGGUGCGACUUGAUCCCUGGUCGACGGUCAACCUCGGCAGCAAUCAGAACGAAACAAAACGGGGUCAAAUACAACUCAAACACUCUCGACCCAAUCAAUGAAAGUCUAGAAAGCAACCCCUGUUUUCCUCUAAAAUUAUGUCGUCUGCAGUCAACAUAAUUUCUCAGGCCAAAACAGGUACUCCUUCAAUCACUCACCCCACUCUCGGAGGAGUUAGAACAACUAAUCAUUGACUUUCGCAAUUAGAUUACGCCUCUCACUUCUUGCUUUCCUAAGGUUUGCCAAACUUAGGUUCUCUAGGUCCCAACGACCGAAUGCUAAACUCUGAUACCAACUUAAUCUGUCACGCCCCGGAUUACAGUUCCCCGGACACGCCGACAAAUCCGCCGUAUACAAAGGAAUUUUCCCUGUAUACGAAGCGACAGUUGUACCUGUAAAACAUACAAUACUACAAACAGUAAUAUAGAGCUGCUAGAAGAACUAGUAAAGUAAAAGAAACCGAGUUCCAUAUACAUACACUGAAUCCCAGAGUACAAAGCUACUCGCGCUGGCGAGUUAAAAGUCUGUAUGUACAUGAACCCAAACCAAAACAUCUACCUGCAGUAGGGGUGCAUCUAGCUCUGCUCCUCGGGUAGGGCUCUAACUCGUGAUGCCCUUGCCUAGCUCCUGACCAGCAACAGCAGCAGCCGAAGACGAAGGCUCUGCAAAAACGGGAUAACAACUGGACGUGAGAACUACUGUAGAAACAAGUAGUCCUCAGUGGGUGCCGCCCUCAACAAUCAUCGGUCCAGCCACUAAGUCUACAGAAGGUAACAAGGCUAACAGGAAAAGCUGGAAAGAAAUCUACAGCUACAUAUCGCUACACUAGCAUGAUCUACACUAAACAACUGUAGUAAAAGUCAAAACUGACUCAAUUUCACUAGGAACUGUGAACACACCCGUCCCGCCUGCCGGAUCGAACCCGUAUCCUACUCCAGGAAUAGCUGGUGGAGAAAACUCUCUAGGGACUGUGAAUACACCCGUCCCGCCUAAUUAGGUGACACCGUAGCUCAAGAAUAACCGGCGGAGAAAACUCUCUGGAGACUGUGAAUACACCCGUCUCGUCUACUAGAAUACGCCGUAUCUCAAGAGUAAUCGGCGGAGAAAACUCUCUAAAGACUGUGAAUACACCCGUCUCACCUAAUUAGACUACACCAUACCUCGAGAGUAGUCGGUCCCAGAAAAAGGUCCAACAUGAUGGUUAAGACUCCACUCACGUCACAACCUCACUAAAGGUAGAGAAAAACGUCACUCACUAUCUCACCCGGGCUACCCAAAACGGACCCACCCUGCCUGUAUCUAGCUGCGCCGUACACCACCCCGAGGGUAACCGGCUCAAGAACUGUCGAACAGAAACUGCGACACUCAUCGCACUGAAACCUCAUUCCGGAAUGGCAUUCGCGGGCGCGACCCAACGAGUUUAUAAGUAUCUCUGUCAAGUUCAUACCGCUCUCACAGGCUAAGUCAAGUAACCGACUCUAACUGGUCUAACAACCAACAGGUAAAGUGCCCUCGGCACAAUCUAACGCCAAAAAGGCGAUACGAGUCUACCGUCAACUCCGACGGCACCCAACAGUCCGAAAUAGCCUGAACGCUACUAUAAAAAUACACUCGGCAUCCCAGCACGAGCGUAACUAAAAAUUAAACUACCUGGAAUACUCACUAUGAGGAUACUGCAACAGUAUAAAAUAAUACAACGGUCCCUAGGCUAAAUCAGGUAGUUUAACAUAUGCCAGGUCCCGAACACGGGUUUUCUCCUAUGUCAAAUUCAGAUCCAAUAUGUAUAAUUUAUUUAUAAAAAUAGGCUCCAAUUUCAGUUUAGAUGAAAACAACAUUUACAAAUAUGAAACUGAGCUAAAACAAUAGUAAUGUGUAAUACUAACUAUACAUGUCGACAAACAAGACUAUAUGAGUAGGAAUCCGAUGAUAAACUCACCUCGAAAGCUAAAUCCAAUCUGGCGCGACGUCGAGAAUGGCGGAAACGCACCCUCGUCCAGCCUCCUCAUGAUGCUACGACUGCAACCGUAUCCUCGAACGGCUUUGCGGCGCGACGUCGAUGUCGAAUCCGAGCUCCUCGGCUACCUCUAUCCGUGCUCUCCACCAUGCACGUAAUUAACUAGAGAGAACAAAAAAAAAUGCACACUCU